rnacentral:rRNA from 1 species
GAUGAACGCUGGCGGCGUGCCUAAUACAUGCAAGUCGAGCGAACAGACGAGGAGCUUGCUCCUCUGACGUUAGCGGCGGACGGGUGAGUAACACGUGGAUAACCUACCUAUAAGACUGGGAUAACUUCGGGAAACCGGAGCUAAUACUGGAUAAUAUAUUGAACCGCAUGGUUCAAUAGUGAAAGACGGUUUUGCUGUCACUUAUAGAUGGAUCCGCGCCGCAUUAGCUAGUUGGUAAGGUAACGGCUUACCAAGGCGACGAUGCGUAGCCGACCUGAGAGGGUGAUCGGCCACACUGGAACUGAGACACGGUCCAGACUCCUACGGGAGGCAGCAGUAGGGAAUCUUCCGCAAUGGGCGAAAGCUUGACGGAGCAACGCCGCGUGAGUGAUGAAGGUCUUCGGAUCGUAAAACUCUGUUAUUAGGGAAGAACAAAUGUGUAAGUAACUAUGCACGUCUUGACGGUACCUAAACAGAAAGCCACGGCUAACUACGUG